rnacentral:rRNA from 1 species
ACGAGUUUGAUCAUGGCUCAGGAUGAACGCUAGCGGCAGGCCUAAUACAUGCAAGUCGAAGGGGUAGCAAUACACCGGCGGACGGGUGCGUAACGCGUACACAACAUACCUUUAAGGCGGGGGAUAGCAUUGGGAAACUGGUGGUAAUACCCCAUAACAUUGCGUUUCGGCAUUGAGAUGCAAAUUAAAGUUACGGCGCUUAGAGAUUGGUGUGCGUCUGAUUAGCUAGUUGGCGGGGUAACGGCCCACCAAGGCGACGAUCAGUAGGGGGUGUGAGAGCAUGACCCCCCACAUGGGUACUGAGACACGGACCCAACUCCUACGGGAGGCAGCAGUAAGGAAUAUUGGACAAUGGGCGGAAGCCUGAUCCAGCCAUGCCGCGUGAAGGAUGAAGGCGCUCAGCGUUGUAAACUUCUUUUGGAUGGGGACAAUAACUUCCAUUUAUGGGAGCUUGAGGGUACCAUCAGAAUAAGCACCGGCUAACUCCGUG